rnacentral:rRNA from 1 species
GCAUUCAGUUGCCGAUCGGGUAAUGCCGGGCACUCUGGAAGGACUGCCAUCGACAAGAUGGAGGAAGGUGGGGAUGACGUCAAGUCAUCAUGGCCCUUAUGUCCAGGGCGACACACGUGCUACAAUGGCCGGCACAACGGGAAGCGAGUUCGCGAGGACGAGCGGAUCCCUCAAAGCCGGUCGCAGUUCGGAUUGAAGUCUGCAACUCGACUUCAUGAAGCUGGAAUCGCUAGUAAUCGUGGAUCAGCCAAGCCGCGGUGAAUACGUUCCCGGGCCUU